GGCAGGCCGGCAGCAGGCAAGCGAAGGGGCAGAGCACCCCGAUGUCCACCCCGAUGCAGAGAAGAGAAGAAAGUGCGGACAGGCAGUCAUUGUCU
rnacentral:ribozyme from 1 species